UGGAUUUUUAGUGUUUGUCAUGGUGAUUUUAUUCCUGUUUCGUUUGUUGCCACUUGCCACCUGCUACGAGGCCACAAUUUUCAAUGCCUAAUUGACCAUCAUAUUUAAUUAUUGACCCAUGUUAAAUGACAUGGGGAAUGGCAGUGAGAAAAUUGCAUGACACUGUUCAAAGUAUUUGGUAAUACAUUUAUUAACAAAAUAAUGCUUCCUUUAAUAGACACUGGAUAAGUAGAACUAGGUGUCUAUGAAGACAAUGCAAGAGAUUAUUAGGAGUAGAAAACAUUAAACAUAUGUGUCUUGUGGUGCCUAAUCUUGCUUAUUUUACAGGUAAAACAGCUGUCAGAUUAUAAUUCCUUUAAUGCCAUAAGGCUCACAUUCAACAAACAAUAAAUAUUUACAACCAACCCAUUAACUCAAACAUGAAUGCCUUUUGAAAUAUGCAUGCACAAUUGAGUUGUCAUGAUUAAUAGUAUAUGUUAAUGGACUUAAGAAUGAGAAUUACCUACUUUAUCCAUUGCAUUUUUCAACAUGACUGAUGCAACAAAAAUUUAUGUAACUUCAAGUACAUAUAGUUUUGUUAGUUAUUAAUUGAUGUUGUGUUGCCUAUUCUUGUAGGAUUUGGGGAUUGGUCUUCACUGAUAUACAAUAUACUGUCUUCUUUACUAUUUUUCAGAUGACUCACCAAUUUGUGUUUCUGCAUACCACUUUCUUACAUAGUUAUGAAUUUUUAUUUUUUUUCGUAACCGGGUGUAUCCUUAGGUCAGGAGCCAAGACUAAUACUAGGAUUCAUCUGCAGGGCUGACAUUUUUCAACAUUGGCACGGACCUGGGAUCGAACCAUGAUGACUAGGUUAUCUUUCAACAUGACACACCAUGUUGGUCUUCAAAAUGAAGGGGGCAGUUUCAUUGUAGCAUAAUUUGCUUACCAUAGAUUCAGUUUACAAAUAAGAGCAAAAUGAAAAACUGGUAGUCUUACCUGGUAUUUCUGCUUUUAAUACAUAGCCUUCACCUGUCUGACACCAAUCCACAGUGUUUUGGCUGGAGCUCCUUAAAUGAGAUAACAACACAUCUGACUCAAACUCCCAUAGAGGGAAGGCAUCAGAAGGAUCAAAGAACUUCCCAAACAACAGUGGACUGAAAAGUGAUCCAUCACCAAAAACCUUAUGCACUGUCGGAUUAGUCUGGCUGAAGAAUCGUUUGAAAGCC